rnacentral:rRNA from 1 species
UACGUAGGUGACAAGCGUUGUCCGGAUUUACUGGGCGUAAAGAGCGCGCAGGCGGUCGUUCAAGUCGAGUGUGAAGGCCCCCGGCUCAACUGGGGAGGGUCAUUCGAUACUGAUCGACUCGAAGGCAGGAGAGGGUAGUGGAAUUCCCGGUGUAGUGGUGAAAUGCGUAGAUAUCGGGAGGAACACCUGUGGCGAAAGCGGCUCACUGGACCAUUACUGACGCUGAGGCUCGAAAGCUAGGGGAGCAAACAGG